AAUAAACCUUUGAUUGAGAAAUAGUAGUUCGUCAUCUGAUUUUACAGAGAGUCGAUGGUUGGUGGAAAUCGAUAAAUCAAGCGAAUGAAUGGGCUCAUGAGUGGAACCUGAAUGUGAAAGUAGGGAACUCGGAUUCUUCCGUUAUCAAGACUAAAGUGGAUAAAUUAAGUUUAUCUAUUGAGGUGGCACCGCGGUAAUAUAUCGUCCUCUAU
rnacentral:ncRNA from 1 species